rnacentral:rRNA from 1 species
UACGUAGGGUGCGAGCGUUAAUCGGAAUUACUGGGCGUAAAGCGUGCGCAGGUGGUCAUGCAAGACAGAUGUGAAAUCCCCGGGCUUAACCGGGGAACUGCGUCCGAUACUGGAUGACUUGAGUUCGGGAGAGGGAUGCGGAAUUCCAGGUGUAGCGGUGAAAUGCGUAGAUAUCUGGAGGAACACCGGUGGCGAAGGCGGCAUCCUGGACCGACACUGACGCUGAGGAGCGAAAGCCAGGGGAGCAAACGGG